GACGAACGCUGGCGGCGUGCCUAAUACAUGCAAGUAGAACGCACAGUUUAUACCGUAGCUUGCUACACCAUAAACUGUGAGUUGCGAACGGGUGAGUAACGCGUAGGUAACCUGCCUGGUAGCGGGGGAUAACUAUUGGAAACGAUAGCUAAUACCGCAUAAUAUUGAUUAUUGCAUGAUAAUUGAUUGAAAGAUGCUAUUGCAUCACUACCAGAUGGACCUGCGUUGUAUUAGCUAGUAGGUGAGGUAACGGCUCACCUAGGCGACGAUACAUAGCCGACCUGAGAGGGUGAUCGGCCACACUGGGACUGAGACACGGCCCAGACUCCUACGGGAGGCAGCAGUAGGGAAUCUUCGGGAAUGGACGAAAGUCUGACCGAGCAACGCCGCGUGAGUGAAGAAGGUUUUCGGAUCGUAAAGCUCUGUUGUAAGAGAAGAACGGGUGUGAGAGUGGAAAGUUCACACUGUGACGGUAUCUUACCAGAAAGGGACGGCUAACUACGUGC
rnacentral:rRNA from 1 species